UCACUGUCUGCACUCUUACUCUCUCACAUGUUCUUGCUCUCUCGUCUCCUCCGUGUCUCCUCAUUGGACCGAACGCUGCUCAGGAGAGAGAGACGCCGUCCCUCACGCUUCACUGUGGACCAGGAGGAGCAGGAGGAGCAGGAGGAGCAGCAGGAGCAGGACAGAGUGGCGGAAGAGAGGAGAACGAGGGAGACAGACAGCUGGGUGGACGGAGAUUUUCACACCACUUUACCAUCAUCUGAUCUGACAUGGCAACCGCAUAGGAACCUGGUGCCACGGCAACCGUCAGCUCGGCGUCGAGGUUCAGGAGACAGAGAGCUGCUCAGAGGGGAAGAGAGGAACGGAGAGAGGGAUGGCGGUGGAGGAGAAGCCGGGAGUGAAGAGCAGCAGCUCCAUCGUCCCCUGCUUCCUGUUUGUGGAGCUGGUGAUCAUGGCUGGGACGGUGCUGCUGGCUUACUACUUCGAGUACACGGACACCUUCCCGGUGCACAUCCAGGGCUUCUUCUGCUACGACAAGACCUUCUCCAAGCCGUACCCGGGUCCCGACGACACCAGCAAGAUCCCCCCGGUGCUCGUCUACUCGCUGGUCACCGCCAUCCCCACCGUCACGAUUCUUGUUGGAGAGCUGUGUGCCUUCUUCACCAAGGCAGAGGGAACCCAGGAGAAGACCAUCGUCACUGCAGACUGCUGCUACUUCAACCCCCUGCUGAGACGCAUAAUACGCUUCCUAGGUGUCUACGCCUUCGGCCUGUUCACCACCACCAUCUUCGCCAACGCCGGCCAGGUGGUAACAGGAAACCAGACACCUCACUUCCUGUCUGCCUGCCGACCAAACUACACAGCGUUAGGCUGCCAGUCCACCAUGCAGUACAUAGCAGAGCGCCGGGCCUGCACCGGCAACCCGCUGGUCGUCAUGUCCGCACGGAAAUCCUUCCCCUCCAAGGACGCAGCGCUCAGCGUCUUCUCUGCAGUGUACACAGUGAUGUAUGUGACACUGAUGUUCAAGACCAAAGGCACCCGGCUGACCAAGCCCACCAUCAGCCUCACGCUGCUCUGCCUGGCCAUGCUGGUGGGCGUGGUCAGGGUGGCCGAGUACCGGAACCACUGGGCCGACGUCCUGGCCGGGUUCUUCACCGGCGGAGCCAUCGCCGUGUUUUUGGUGACUUGUGUGAUUAACAACUUCCAGCAGAUGCUGCCCAGUCCUCCUCCGCUGCGACCCCAGCGCCCCGAGUCCGUGCUGGGCAUGCCCAUGGUGACGCUGCCCUGUGUGGAGAGUCCACUCGAAAAACUCCGCGGGGAUCUCCGUUCACCGAGAUCACAUGACCAUCAGCCCUAUCGGUUCCCCGCCACCCCCGAUGUCCUCAUACCGUCUCGCUCCAUUUCCAGCGAAGUCUAGACCAGCCGGAGCAGCACUCGCCGCGCUGCGCCGCCCACCCGGCGGGGCGGUACGCCACCCUACACCGCUCGUACUCCACGCAGGUCUAGACCCCCAUACACCGCACACACCAACACACACCCUCCUAACCCCGGGGAACCGAUAGGCUAACUCUUCAAGACUUUCUCUUUGCUGGAAAGAAACAAACUGAACAUUCAGUACAGAGUCAGGUACAUCUUUCUUUUUUUAUUUUCAAGAUUCAACUUUUUUUUGUAUAAACUCAAUCGUGAAGCUCAAUUUCAUCUUCGGUGGCGCGCUCUAUGAGGAAAAACAUCAAACUGUGACCACUGAGAAUGUUUUUUUGUUUGUUUGUUUUAACAACGGUAUGAAGUUGCACCUGUUUGAAGGAGGCUAAAUGUGACGGCGGACUCCCAGGAUGCCGCUUUGAAGUCUGCCGUCAGGAGGUUGCCAUGUUGGACCAAAGAAACCCGCUGGAGGAGACGUGUGCUGCUGAGAUUUACCCGUCAAAAAAAACAUCCUUUCAGCAAGCCAUACACACACACACACACACACACACACACACA